rnacentral:rRNA from 1 species
AUCGAACGCUGGCGGCAGGCCUAACACAUGCAAGUCGCACGAGUGGCGGACGGGUGAGUAAUGUCUGGGUAACUGUUCUAUGGAGGGGGAUAACUACUGGAAACGGUAGCUAAUACCGCAUACCAUCGGAUGUGCCCAGAUGGGAUUAGCUAGUAGGUGGGGUAACGGCUCACCGAGGCGAAGAUCCCUAGCUGGUCUGAGAGGAUGACCAGCCACACGUGGACUGUGGCACGGUCCAAAAUGCUACGGGAGGCAGCAUAGGGGAAUAUUGCACAAGAGACGCAAGCCUGGAGCAGCCAUGCCGCGUGGAUGAAGAAGGCCUUCGGGUUGGAGAGUACCUGCAGAGAGGUGGCGUUAGUCGCAGAAGAGGCACCGGCUAGCUCCGUGCCAGCAGCCGCGGUAAUAC